GGGUAGUAGCAUAGUGGUUUGAGUGUUGGACUAUGACUCUGGAGAUUCUGGGUUAGAUUCCCAACUCAUCCA